UAAGGAAUAUUGGUCAAUGGACGCAAGUCUGAACCAGCCAUGCCGCGUGAAGGAUGAAGGUCCUCUGGAUUGUAAACUUCUUUUAUCUGGGACGAAAACGGGAUUUUUAUCUCAAUUGACGGUACCAGAGGAAUAAGCACCGGCUAACUCCGUGCCAGCAGCCGCGGUAAUACGGAGGGUGCGAGCGUUAUCCGGAUUUACUGGGUUUAAAGGGUGCGUAGGUGGGCUUAUAAGUCAGUGGUGAAAUCCUGCCGCUUAACGGUAGAAUUGCCAUUGAUACUGAGAAGCUUGAGUUCAGUUGAGGUAAGCGGAAUGUGUAGUGUAGCGGCGAAAUGCUUAGAUAUUACACAGAACACCGAUUGCGAAGGCAGCUUACUAAACUGUUACUGACGCUGAUGCACGAAAGCGUGGGGA
rnacentral:rRNA from 1 species